CCUAAUGACAAAGCAAAAACAGGAUUUUAGAUUUUUUUUUGCAAAUUUAUUGAAAAGGAAAAACUAAAAUAUCACACUGACAUAAGUAUUCAGACCCUUUGCUAUAUCACUUGAAAUGUAUCUCAGGUGCCUCCCAUUUCUCUUGAUCAUCUGAGAGAUGUUUCUACACCUUGAUUUGGGUCCACCUGUGGUAAAUUCAAUUGAUUCCACAUGAUUUGGAAAAGCACACACCUGUCUAUAUGAGGUCUCACAGCUGACAAUGUAAAUCAGAGUAAAAACCAAGCUAUGAGGUCAAAGGAACUGCCUGCAGAGAUCAGAGACCGGCCUGUGUCAAGGCCCAGAUCUGGGGAAGGCUACAAAAAAAAUGUCUUCUGCAAUGAAGGAUCCCAAGUGGCUUCCAUAAUUCUUAAAUGGAAGAAGUUUGGAACGACCAGGACUCUACCUAGAGCUGGUCGCCCAGCCAAACUGAGAAGGGCCUUCUGACAAGUUGAGGAAAAGCUGAAUGGAGGACAAUGACCCUCAGCACACAGCCAACACGAUGCAGGAGUGACUUGGGAACAACUCCGUGAAUGCCCUUGAGUGGUCUUGACUUGAACCCAAUCAAACAUCUCUGGAGAGACCUGAAAAUGACUGUCCACCGACGGUCCCCAUCCAACCUGGCAGAACCUGGGAGGAUUUGCAGAGACGAAUGGCAGAGAAAUCCCCAAAGCCUGUUGCAUCAUACCCAGGAAGACUUGAGGCUGUAAUCGCUAACAAAGGUGCUUCAACUAGGUACUGAGUAAAGGGUCUGAAUACAUAUGUCAA